UACAGGGGGUGCUAGCGUUAUUCGGAAUCAUUGGGCUUAAAGGGUGCGUAGGCGGGCUCGUGAGUCAGGGGUGAAAGCCCACGGCUCAACCGUGGAAGGGCCUUUGAUACUGCGUGCCUGGAGGGAGGUAGGGGCGUGCGGAACUUCCGGUGGAGCGGUGAAAUGCGUAGAUAUCGGAAGGAACACCGGUGGCGAAAGCGGCGCGCUGGACCUCUUCUGACGCUGAGGCGCGAAAGCCAGGGGAGCAAACGGG
rnacentral:rRNA from 1 species